rnacentral:antisense_RNA from 12 species
CUUAAUGGUAGUUGUGCGCGGGAGACCUGAGGUCUGCCGGAGUCCGUAGCUAUCCGGUUCGCCAACCCGCGUACAGCUGCCACCCAU